rnacentral:rRNA from 1 species
GACGAACGCUGGCGGCGUGCUUAACACAUGCAAGUCGAGCGGAAAGGCCACUUCGGUGGUACUCGAGCGGCGAACGGGUGAGUAACACGUGAGUAAUCUGCCCUUCACUUUGGGAUAACCCCCGGAAACGGGAGCUAAUACCGGAUACGACCUUCAACCGCAUGGUUUGUUGUUGGAAACUUUUUGGGUGGGGGAUGUGCUCGCGGCCUAUCAGCUUGUUGGUGGGGUAAUGGCCUACCACGGCUUUGACGGGUAGCCGGCCUGAGAGGGUGACCGGGCACACUGGGCGUGAGAGAAGGACCAGACUCCUACGGGAGGCAGCAGGGGGGAAUCUGGCACACUGGCCGGAAGCUUGAUGCAGGAACGCCGCGUGAUGGAUGGCGGCCUUCUGGUUGUAAACCUCUUUUAGCAGGGAAGAAGCGAGAGUGACGGUACCUGCAGAAAAAGCGCCGGCUAACUACGUGCCAGCAGCCGCGGUAACAC